AAUUCCUCUAGAGGCUUUGCAGGUGUGAUGCUGUGCUACAAGUGCACCAGCAGGUGUCAGAAAGGAAAGAUAUUAUGUCUACCUUUGGUGUUCUGCCCUGCGAACAUCUGAAUUAUUAGUAGCCUAACACU